AUUGAACGCUGGCGGCAGGCCUAACACAUGCAAGUCGAGCGGAUGAAGGGAGCUUGCUCCUGGAUUCAGCGGCGGACGGGUGAGUAAUGCCUAGGAAUCUGCCUGGUAGUGGGGGAUAACGUCCGGAAACGGGCGCUAAUACCGCAUACGUCCUGAGGGAGAAAGUGGGGGAUCUUCGGACCUCACGCUAUCAGGUGAGCCUAGGUCGGAUUAGCUAGUUGGUGGGGUAAAGGCCUACCAAGACGACGAUCCGUAACUGGUCUGAGAGGAUGAUCAGUCACACUGGAACUGAGACACGGUCCAGACUCCUACGGGAGGCAGCAGUGGGGAAUAUUGGACAAUGGGCGAAAGCCUGAUCCAGCCAUGCCGCGUGUGUGAAGAAGGUCUUCGGAUUGUAAAGCACUUUAAGUUGGGAGGAAGGGCAGUAAGUUAAUACCUUGCUGUUUUGACGUUACCAACAGAAUAAGCACCGGCUAACUUCGUG
rnacentral:rRNA from 1 species